AAACAUCUUAAUUUUUUUUAAGCAAAAUUAUCAUGUUAAAAAUUAAAUGGAAUUACUGUUAAUUCAAAAAUCCAAUGAAUGUUUAAUAAUAUGAAUUAUUGAACUUAAAAUAUAUUGAUAGUUUAAAAUUAAAAUGUUUGUCCAAUUUAUCUCGAAACAGUAAAGUAGAAUUGAUGGAGAAUAAGAGGCCAAGAUGCAAUGACGGUCUAGAGUUUUUUCUUUUGGAAAGAAAGUUUGUGUUUCACUGUUGGUAUCUAUCUUUUAAUAGGACAAUAAAGAAU
rnacentral:misc_RNA from 1 species